AGAAAAGCUUGGUUUAAAAUUAAAAAAACAGUCUCUUUAGAUAAUUCCUGCAGUAUGCUUGAAAAAUUAUUUGAUACUUUAGUUGUUCCAAUAACUCUUUAUGGAAGUGAAGUUUGGGGUGUAAGCCAAGUGUUCAAAGAUUCAGAUCCAUUUGAACAUUUACAUAUUAAAUUUAUUAAAGAAAUUUUAGGAGUACAGUGCAAAACAACAAAUGUAGCCUGUUUAACUGAGACAAACAGAAUCCCUUUGUACUUUAAAAUUCACCUUUCAGCUAUAAAAUUUCUAAACCACAUUGUAAACUCGCCUAACACUUUAGUCCAUAAAAUAUAUAAUAAUGUAGAGAAAACAAGUAAAUGGGUUAACAUUGUAAAAGACUGGUUAAAUAAAUUAGGUUUUGGUCAUCUCACUUUUAAUACUUUUAAUUUAAAAUAUCACAUAAAUAGUAUCCAACAAAGAAUCUAUGACCAGGCUUAUCAAAUUAUGAAUUGUUCUAUCAAUAAAUGUGAAAAAUUAAAUUUCUUUUGUCAUACUAAAAGAAUUAGAAAAAGGCCCCCAUAUAUUGAUAUAUGUAAAUUCAAAACCGACCGAUCAGUUUUCAGUAAAUUUAAACUAAGUGCGCAUUCCCUAGCAAUUGAAAGAGGGCGUUAUACCAACAUUGAAAGAAGUAAACGCAUUUGCUUAUCCUGUAACAGACAAGAAAUUGAGGAUGAAUACCAUUUCUUCUCAAUCUGUCCAUGCUAUAAAUCAUUAAGGGAUACCUAUAUACAAAAUAUUAAUAAAAAUCUUAAUUUCAAUUUUAUUAAAUUGCAGUCCACUAUAACACUAAAUCAUUUGACUGUACUUUUAAAUAGCAGUCUACCAGUCAUUAUAAAAAUCACCAUAAAGUAUAUUAAUGAUUGUCUUUUAUUAAGAACAUCUGUA
rnacentral:lncRNA from 1 species